CUGGAGUGUUGGGGUCAUAAUGCUCUUUCCCUACAUUUCCAACUAGGAAAAUAAAAAGGUUGUUAUGAGUUAUCUGCAAUGAAUUAAUGGGCCUCAUGCGUAUAGUUUUCUGUUUGAGUUCACAAAUUAAUAUGAAUCAUCAUACCGCUCCAUGAAAGAGGAACUUUUGUCUCCAUUUUACAGAUGAGAAAACUGAGGCUCCGGGGUGUUGAAGGGCUGGCUUAGAGUCACACAGCAGGAAGCAGAACAGCUGAGAUCCACCUCCAAGUCUGCUGGACUCCAAAACCUUUGGUCUCUCCAUGCUGGGCGAGAGCUACGUCUUCCGACGUCCUGCGGGAGGGGCCACAGCCUGGCUGGUUCUGGAGUCUGCUCCUCCGGGGCCUGAGGAGAAGGAUGCAGCCAGGCUCCAUGCGGCUGUUCCUGUUGUGCAGGGAAAGGUCAGGGGCACCCUCGGGAUGACAGCGGUCCUCACUGGCCAGCCUGCCUGCCGGGAUGGGCUUCUCCUGCUUCUGCUGAGCUGUGCCUGCUCUCCUUCCUGUCUCUGGAGGCUGGCGAGAUUGCUGAACAGCUUUCGAGCCUCCAGGCCAAUGUCCAGGGAGGAAGGAGCAGGAGAUAACACUAAUCCUUCACCAUCCAAUGUACUCUAUACCUUCCAGCAUGCGGCCACCUCGCUUAUCACGUUCCAUUAGUUGGCGUUCGAGGCUGUUUCUGACCUCCAGCGGCACCACCCCCGUGUCCUUGAUUCCAGCCAUGCUGACUCCUCAAACCCCUGCUCUGUUCCCAGCCUCGUGUAUGAUAUAGGAUGUAAUUGCUAAGCGCCUGCCCUGUGUCCGGCCUUGGGCGUGGCCCCAGAGAGGCAGGAAGGAGCAGGAACCGCUGGUCGUUCCCCACGAGGACACAGACAGCCCCCACUGGCCGGAGUGGGCCUGGCGCUCCAGCCGGGCUGCAGUGGUCUCCUGUUGAGCAUAAACAACUUUCCAGAACAGAAACAUCAGACAAGGCCACAAGCAAGACAAAAACAAGACCACUCCGUAAUCGUGUCCGAACACAGACAAAAACAAGAACAUUGUCCAAACCACAAAAAUCGUCAAACAUCCCCUGUCCUGGCUAAUAUCAGGGACUACUGCUGCUUUAGCAAUUACUGCUCUGGCUCGGCUCUGUUCUUGCCUCCUGGAUAAGACUCAUUAAGAUACUCAGUCAGGGAUCUGCUCUCCCCACUUCCUGAUGGCUUUCAGUCCAGAACAGAGCCCUGCUUCCUGGAUUCCUCCCCCAAAUCUCCUGUCACUAGCCCAAAUCCUAGAACUCAACUCCAGCACCCUCUCCCUGAGGCGCCCACCCAUCCCCAUGGUGUGCGUUCUCCCUUGUUGCCACAGGGAAUAUACACACCUUUAUUCAAAUACAGGUGCGUUUCUCCUGGUCUUCGGCUGGGUGGCACUGGCACCACCAACCCUGGGCACAGGGCAGGGCAGAAUUAUUGAAGAGCUAAAUUGCCCC
rnacentral:lncRNA from 1 species